AGAAAUUUAGGUUAAUGUAAAACCAAAGGCCUUCAAAGCCUUUAAUAGAAGUUAAAAUCCUCUAAUUUCUG
rnacentral:tRNA from 1 species